rnacentral:lncRNA from 1 species
UUUUUUUCUUUCAGUUUGAGAAUUUGGGAAUAACUUGUUAAAAUGGAAAUGAGUGCUAAGGAGUUGAAGGAGGAAGAAGAGGAAGAGAAAGAAAAAUAGUGGAAAUUAGAGGAAGAAGAAGUAAACAGAAAUAGUGCAAAUUUUACCGAAAGAGUGCAAUUUUGUGCUAAAGAGUGUAAAUCUGAUUCCAAAAAGUAUAAUUUUUAUCUCAAAUAGUGCAAUUUUUAUCUAAAACAGUGUAAAAAAAAUAUUAAACAGUGUAAUUUUGUGUAAUUUUAAACAGUGUAAAAAAAAUUUUAAACAGCAUAAUUUUAUCUCAAAUAGUGCAAAUUUUACCGAAAGAGUGCAAAUUUAGAUUGUAAAUAUCUCAAAUAGUGGAAAUUAAAUAUUUUAGAUUGUAUGUAUUAAAUAUUAAUUUUAAUUUUAUAAUUAUUUAGAUAAAAAUAAUUUAUUUUUAUAAAAAACACUAUAAUUAAGUUUUUUUUUAAAUU